GACCGGUUCUCCUGUUCAGACUGCUACCACUGGACUGCCCUGAGUCUUCCUCUUGUCCGCCGGGCUGGAGUGCAAUGGCACGAUCUCAGUUCACUGCAACUUCUGCUUCCUGGCUUCAAGUGAUUCUCCUGCUUCAGCCUGCUGAGUAGCUGGAAUUACAGGCUGCACCCACUGUCUAACCAGUCCCAAUGAGAUGAACCG
rnacentral:lncRNA from 1 species